CCUCCCCUUCCUUUCCUUUUCCCCUCCCCCUCUUUUUCUCCUUUUUUUUAAUUCGAAGCAACGCGAAGAACCUUACCAGGUCUUGACAUCCCAUUGACCGGUCGUUAAUCCGACCUUCUCUUUUGAGCAAUGGAGACAGGUGGUGCAUGGUUGUCGUCAGCUCGUGUCGUGAGAUGUUUGGUUAAGUCCAGCAACGAGCGCAACCCCUAUCUUUAGUAGCCAUCAGGUAAAGCUGGGCACUCUAGAGAGACUGCCAGGGAUAACCUGGAGGAAGGCGGGGACGACGUCAAAUCAUCAUGCCCCUUAUGAUCUGGGCUACACACGUGCUACAAUGGUGACUACAAAGGGAAGCGAAAUCGCAAGAUGGAGCAAACCCCAUAAAGGUCAUCUCAGUUCGGAUUGUAGUCUGCAACUCGACUACAUGAAGCUGGAAUCGCUAGUAAUCGUGGAUCAGAAUGCCACGGUGAAUACGUUCCCGGGUCUUGUACACACCGCCCGU
rnacentral:rRNA from 1 species